rnacentral:rRNA from 1 species
AGUUUUGAUCUGGCUCAGAUUGAACGCUGGCGGCAGGCCUAACACAUGCAAGUCGAGCGGUAGCACAGAGAGCUUGCUCUCGGGUGACGAGCGGCGGACGGGUGAGUAAUGUCUGGGAAACUGCCUGAUGGAGGGGGAUAACUACUGGAAACGGUAGCUAAUACCGCAUAACGUCGCAAGACCAAAGUGGGGGACCUUCGGGCCUCAUGCCAUCAGAUGUGCCCAGAUGGGAUUAGCUGGUAGGUGGGGUAACGGCUCACCUAGGCGACGAUCCCUAGCUGGUCUGAGAGGAUGACCAGCCACACUGGAACUGAGACACGGUCCAGACUCCUACGGGAGGCAGCAGUGGGGAAUAUUGCACAAUGGGCGCAAGCCUGAUGCAGCCAUGCCGCGUGUGUGAAGAAGGCCUUCGGGUUGUAAAGCACUUUCAGCGGGGAGGAAGGCGGUGAGGUUAAUAACCUCAUCGAUUGACGUUACCCGCAGAAGAAGCACCGGCUAACUCCGUGCCAGCAGCCGCGGUAAUACGGAGGGUGCAAGCGUUAAUCGGAAUUACUGGGCGUAAAGCGCACGCAGGCGGUCUGUCAAGUCGGAUGUGAAAUCCCCGGGCUCAACCUGGGAACUGCAUUCGAAACUGGCAGGCUAGAGUCUUGUAGAGGGGGGUAGAAUUCCAGGUGUAGCGGUGAAAUGCGUAGAGAUCUGGAGGAAUACCGGUGGCGAAGGCGGCCCCCUGGACAAAGACUGACGCUCAGGUGCGAAAGCGUGGGGAGCAAACAGGAUUAGAUACCCUGGUAGUCCACGCUGUAAACGAUGUCGAUUUGGAGGUUGUGCCCUUGAGGCGUGGCUUCCGGAGCUAACGCGUUAAAUCGACCGCCUGGGGAGUACGGCCGCAAGGUUAAAACUCAAAUGAAUUGACGGGGGCCCGCACAAGCGGUGGAGCAUGUGGUUUAAUUCGAUGCAACGCGAAGAACCUUACCUGGUCUUGACAUCCACAGAACUUUCCUGAGAUGGAUUGGUGCCUUCGGGAACUGUGAGACAGGUGCUGCAUGGCUGUCGUCAGC